rnacentral:rRNA from 1 species
AUUGAACGCUGGCGGCGUGCCUAACACACGCAAGUCGAGCGGUAACAGGUGUAGCAAUACAUGCUGACGAGCGGCGGACGGGUGAGUAAUGUUUGGGAAUCUGCCUAUACGUGGUGGACAACCCGUGGAAACUCGGGCUAAUACCGCAUACGCUCUACGGAGGAAAGCCGGGGACCGCAAGGCCUGGCGCUAGUAGAUGAGCCCAAAUUGGAUUAGCUAGUGGGUGAGGUAACGGCUCACCAAGGCGACGAGCCAUAACUGGUUUGAGAGAACGACCAGUCACACCGGAACGGAGACACGGUCCGGACUCCUACGGGAGGCAGCAGUGGGGAAUAUUGGACAAUGGGCGAAAGCCUGAUCCAGCGACGCCGCGUGGGUGAAGAAGGCCUGCGGGUUGUAAAGCCCUUUCGGUGGGGAUAAAAAGCCUUGGUUUAACACACCAGGGUCUUGAUCUAACCCAAGAAAGAAGCACCGGCUAACUCUGUGCCAGCCGCCGCGGUAA